rnacentral:rRNA from 1 species
CUUGACAUCCAGCGAACUUGGCAGAGAUGCCUUGGUGCCUUCGGGAACGCUGAGACAGGUGCUGCAUGGCUGUCGUCAGCUCGUGUUGUGAAAUGGUUGGUUAACGUCCGCAACGAGCGCAACCCUUAUCCUUUGUUGCCAGCGAUUCGGUCGGGAACUCAAAGGAGACUGCCGGUGAUAAACCGGAGGAAGGUGGGGAUGACGUCAAGUCAUCGUGGCCCUUACGAGUAGGGCUACACACGUGCUACAAUGGCGCAUACAAAGAGAAGCGACCUCGCGAGAGCAAGCGGACCUCAUAAAGUGCGUCGUAGUCCGGAUCGGAGUCUGCAACUCGACUCCGUGAAGUCGGAAUCGCUAGUAAUCGUGGAUCAGAAUGCCACGGUGAAUACGUUCCCGGGCCUUGUACACACCGCCCGUCACACCAUGGGAGUGGGUUGCAAAAGAAGUAGGUAGCUUAACCUUCGGGAGGGCGCUUACCACUUUGUGAUUCAUGACUGGGGUGAAGUCGUAACAAGGUAAGCGUAGCGAG